GUACACAGUCGACUAUGAAGACGAUUUUUUGGGCUAUGACGACGGUUUCAACUGUAGUCAUAGCUAUUCUAGAUCUGGGCUACGGCGGGCUAUGACGAUGGGUGAACCGUCCCAUAGCGCAAAAAAUCAAUCGCCAUAGCCCAACUGUGUAU
rnacentral:pre_miRNA from 1 species